GCCUUGCUGACGAGUGCCAGCUAGCACGAAACUCAGGUCCAAGAC
rnacentral:hammerhead_ribozyme from 1 species